rnacentral:lncRNA from 1 species
UCCACAAAAACUAGCCUAUUUAAUUACAUUAAUAUCUAGUAUUGAAUCAAAAUUAAUAACACAUUUAAAAUCUAGAAGAAUGAAACAUAUACCACCUAAUUAUGAUAAAAUUAGAUUUAGAUAUCCACCAAGAUAUUAUAAAUAUAAUUUAAAAUGAAUAAAAUACAACGAUAUAAAGAAUUAAAACAAAUUAUCUCUGAAAAACGUAAAGAAUUAAAAAUAAGAAU